rnacentral:rRNA from 1 species
GACGGGGCCCGCACAAGCGGUGGAGCAUGUGGUUAAUUCGAAGCAACGCGAAGAACCUUACCAGGUCUUGACAUCCCUGACAACCCGAGAGAUCGGGCGUUCCCCUUCGGGGGACAGGGUGACAGGUGGUGCAUGGUUGUCGUCAGCUCGUGUCGUGAGAUGUUGGGUUAAGUCCCGCAACGAGCGCAACCCUCGCCUCUAGUUGCCAGCAUUCGGUUGGGCACUCUAGAGGGACUGCCGGCGACAAGUCGGAGGAAGGUGGGAUGACGUCAAAUCAUCAUGCCCCUUAUGACCUGGGCUACACACGUGCUACAAUGGGCGGUACAAAGGGCUGCGAACCCGCGAGGGGGAGCGAAUCCCAAAAAGCCGCUCUCAGUUCGGAUUGCAGGCUGCAACUCGCCUGCAUGAAGCCGGAAUCGCUAGUAAUCGCGGAUCAGCAUGCCGCGGUGAAUACGUUCCCGGGCCUU